GGCCAUGUUCUUCCACAGCUUUCUUGAACUUCUUCCCCAUUCACCACCAAAUUACAAUUAUCUCAAAUUGUAAUUUUUCAACAUACUUUGAAGCUCAAGAUAGCUGUGGGAAAUCAUGUCAC
rnacentral:pre_miRNA from 1 species